rnacentral:tRNA from 1 species
GAGGGUAUAGCUCAAUGGUAGAGCACAUGUUUAGCAUUCAUGAGGUCCUGGGUUCAAUCCCCAGUACCUCCA